rnacentral:rRNA from 1 species
AGUGAACGCUGGCGGUAGGCCUAACACAUGCAAGUCGAACGGCAGCACAGUAAGAGCUUGCUCUUACGGGUGGCGAGUGGCGGACGGGUGAGGAAUACAUCGGAAUCUACUUUUUCGUGGGGGAUAACGUAGGGAAACUUACGCUAAUACCGCAUACGACCUACGGGUGAAAGCAGGGGAUCUUCGGACCUUGCGCGAUUGAAUGAGCCGAUGUCGGAUUAGCUAGUUGGCGGGGUAAAGGCCCACCAAGGCGACGAUCCGUAGCUGGUCUGAGAGGAUGGCACGACGAAAGGGAAAGGAGGAAAGUGCCGGGCUCCGACGGGAGGCAGCAGGGGGGAAUAUUGGACAAUGGGGGCAAGACUGAUCCAGCCAUACAGGGUGGGGGAAGAAGGCCUUAGGGUUCGAAAGACACUGUGUGGGGAAAGAAAAGCAGCAGGUUAAUACCCCGCUGUGCUGACGGUACCCAAAGAAUAAGCACCGGCUAACUUCGUG